AACGGCGAAGUGAAGCGGCAAAAGCUCAAAUUUGAAAUCUGGCUCCAUGCGGAGCCCGAGUUGUAAUUUGGAGAGGACACUUCGGGUGCGGCCACGGCAUAAGUUCCUUGGAACAGGACGUCAUAGAGGGUGAGAAUCCCGUCUUUGGCUGCUGGACCGCGCCCAUGCGAAGUUCCUUCGACGAGUCGAGUUGUUUGGGAAUGCAGCUCUAAGUGGGUGGUAAAUUUCAUCUAAAGCUAAAUAUUGGCCGGAGACCGAUAGCGCACAAGUAGAGUGAUCGAAAGGUUAAAAGCACCUUGAAAAGGGAGUUAAAUAGCACGUGAAAUUGUUGAAAGGGAAGCGCUUGCAACCAGACUCGGUCGUGGGGGCUCAGCGGGCAUGCGUGCCCGUGUACUCCCCCAUGCUCCGGGCCAGCAUCAGUUCUGGCGGUUGGUUAAAGGCCUCUGGAAUGUAUCGUCCUCCGGGACGUCUUAUAGCCAGGGGCGCAAUGCGGCCAGCCGGGACUGAGGAACGCGCUUCGGCACGGAUGCUGGCAUAAUGGUUGUAAGCGGCCCGUCUUGAAACACGGACCAAGGAGUCUAACAUCCACGCGAGUGUUCGGGUGUCAAACCCGUGCGCGCAGUGAAAGCGAACGGAGGUGGGAGCCCGCAAGGGUGCACCAUCGACCGAUCCUGAAGUCUUCGGAUGGAUUUGAGUAAGAGCGUGGCUGUUGGGACCCGAAAGAUGGUGAACUAUGCCUGAAUAGGGUGAAGCCAGAGGAAACUCUGGUGGAGGCUCGCAGCGGUUCUGACGUGCAAAUCGAUCGUCAAAUUU
rnacentral:rRNA from 1 species